rnacentral:rRNA from 1 species
GAUGAACGCUGGCGGCGUGCCUAAUACAUGCAAGUCGAGCGAACAGAUAAGGAUCUUGCUCCUUUGACGUUAGCGGCGGACGGGUGAGUAACACGUGGGUAACCUACCUAUAAGACUGGGAUAAUUUCGGGAAACCGGAGCUAAUAGCGGAUAAGAUUCUGAACCGCAUGGGUCGAUAGUGAAAGAUGGCUUUGCUAUCACUUAUAGAUGCAUCUCCGCCGUAUUAGCUAGUUGGUAAGGUAACGGCUUACCAAGGCGACGAUACGUAGCCGACCUGAGUGGGUGGUCGGCCACAUUGGAACUUAGACAGCGACAUGACUCCUAAGGUACGCCGCAGUCGGGAACCGGCCGCAAUAGGGGAGAGCCUUACGGAGCGACGCCGCGUGAGUGAUGAAGGCCUUCCGAUCGUAAAGCUCUGUUAUUAGGGAAGAACCUACUUGUAAGUAACUGUACACGUCUUGACGGUACCUAAUCAGAAAGCCACGGCUAACUACGUG